GCGCCAUGUGCAGGAGAGAGCUACAUCAGGUUACGCGUAGCCGCCGAAGGCGCAGAUGCCCUUAAAUCGCUCAGGCAACAGGGACUGCACAUUGAAA
rnacentral:ncRNA from 2 species